ACUCCUACGGGAGGCAGCAGUAGGGAAUCUUAGACAAUGGGCGCAAGCCUGAUCUAGCGAUGCCGCGUGUGUGACGAAGGCCUUAGGGUCGUAAAGCACUUUCGCCAGGGAUGAUAAUGACAGUACCUGGUAAAGAAGUCCCGGCUAACUCCGUGCCAGCAGCCGCGGUAAUACGGAGGGACUAGCGUUGUUCGGAAUUACUGGGCGUAAAGCGCGCGUAGGCGGAUUAGUUAGUCAGAGGUGAAAUCCCAGGGCUCAACCCUGGAACUGCCUUUGAUACUGCUAGUCUUGAGUUCGAGAGAGGUGAGUGGAAUUCCGAGUGUAGAGGUGAAAUUCGUAAAUAUUCGGAGGAACACCAGUGGCGAAGGCGGCUCACUGGCUCGAUACUGACGCUGAGGUGCGAAAGUGUGGGGAGCAAACAGGAUUAGAUACCCUGGUAGGAUAGCG
rnacentral:rRNA from 1 species